ACUCCUACGGGAGGCAGCAGUAGGGAAUCUUCCACAAUGGACGAAAGUCUGAUGGAGCAACGCCGCGUGAACGAUGAAGGCUUUCGGGUCGUAAAGUUCUGUUGUAAGGGAAGAACAAGUGCCGCAGGCAAUGGCGGCACCUUGACGGUACCUUGCGAGAAAGCCACGGCUAACUACGUGCCAGCAGCCGCGGUAAUACGUAGGUGGCAAGCGUUGUCCGGAAUUAUUGGGCGUAAAGCGCGCGCAGGCGGCCUCUUAAGUCUGAUGUGAAAGUCCCCGGCUCAACCGGGGGAGGGCCAUUGGAAACUGGGAGGCUUGAGUAUAGGAGAGAAGAGUGGAAUUCCACGUGUAGCGGUGAAAUGCGUAGAGAUGUGGAGGAACACCAGUGGCGAAGGCGACUCUUUGGCCUAUAACUGACGCUGAGGCGCGAAAGCGUGGGGAGCAAACA
rnacentral:rRNA from 1 species